CAGCCGCCACGGUAAUACGUAGGGUGCGAGCGUUAAUCGGAAUUACUGGGCGUAAAGCGUGCGCAGGCGGUUUGUUAAGACAGAUGUGAAAUCCCCGGGCUUAACCUGGGAACUGCAUUUGUGACUGGCCGGCUAGAGUAUGGCAGAGGGAGGUGGAAUUCCACGUGUAGCAGUGAAAUGCGUAGAUAUGUGGAGGAACACCGAUGGCGAAGGCAGCCUCCUGGGCCAAUACUGACGCUCAUGCACGAAAGCGUGGGGAGCAAACAGGAUUAGAUACCCGCGUAGUCCCUGUCUCUUAUAA
rnacentral:rRNA from 1 species